rnacentral:rRNA from 1 species
CCAGACUCCUACGGGAGGCAGCAGUGGGGAAUAUUGCACAAUGGGGGAACCCUGAUGCAGCGACGCCGCGUGAGUGAAGAAGUAUUUCGGUAUGUAAAGCUCUAUCAGCAGGGAAGAAGUUGACGGUACCUGAGUAAGAAGCCCCGGCUAAAUACGUGCCAGCAGCCGCGGUAAUACGUAUGGGGCAAGCGUUAUCCGGAUUUACUGGGUGUAAAGGGAGCGCAGGCGGCGCGGCAAGUCAGAUGUGAAAGCCCGGGGCUCAACCCCGGGACUGCAUUUGAAACUGCCGUGCUGGAGUGCCGGAGAGGCAAGUGGAAUUCCUAGUGUAGCGGUGAAAUGCGUAGAUAUUAGGAGGAACACCAGUGGCGAAGGCGGCUUGCUGGACGAUAACUGACGCUGAGGCUCGAAAGCGUGGGGAGCAAACAGGAUUAGAUACCCCCGUAAA